AUUGAACGCUGGCGGCAUGCUUUACACAUACAAGUCGAACGGUAACAGGCCGCAAGGUGCUGACGAGUGGCGAACGGGUGAGUAAUGCAUCGGAACGUGCCCAGUCGUGGGGGAUAACGCAGCGAAAGCUGCGCUAAUACCGCAUACGAUCUAUGGAUGAAAGCGGGGGACCGUAAGGCCUCGCGCGAUUGGAGCGGCCGAUGACAGAUUAGGUAGUUGGUGGGGUAAAGGCUCACCAAGCCAACGAUCUGUAGCUGGUCUGAGAGGACGACCAGCCACACUGGGACUGAGACACGGCCCAGACUCCUACGGGAGGCAGCAGUGGGGAAUUUUGGACAAUGGGCGCAAGCCUGAUCCAGCAAUGCCGCGUGCAGGAAGAAGGCCUUCGGGUUGUAAACUGCUUUUGUACGGAACGAAAAGGCUCUGGAUAAUACCUGGGGCUCAUGACGGUACCGUAAGAAUAAGCACCGGCUAACUACGUGCCAGCCGCCGCGGUAAUAC
rnacentral:rRNA from 1 species